rnacentral:rRNA from 1 species
AUGACCAGUAGAAUGGUUGGUAACCCUAGGAGGCACAGGCACAGGGAUGCUGUGUCAGGUGUCGAAAGGCAGGCAAGGCAACUACUGUCUACUGCUACCGACGUUAAACAUCCGCUAACACUGAGCAAAAAUGCCAUCAUGCGCCAGGAGAGCUCCAUCUUCUUCUUUUUUGCUGAGAUUGGUGCUGCUGCUUGGAGUAGACGCCAGCUUUGUGGCAGAGGAAGAGGCAGAGGCAGAGGAAGGACGGCGGCCAUUGCCAGGAGCCAUGAAGACAAAGGAAGCAGCGGUGAAGAGGUCGUGCCUGCAAGAAAGAGGAGAGGGAGGCCGCAGAAGCACUUCGCCGAUAAAACCGAACAGGUUGAUGUUGAGAAUUUCGUAGAAGAUGUCGAUGGCGGCGAUGAAGAUGGCAAAGAUGUUAAACUGAAUGCAAGUGCUGGUGUGAAGAGAGGCAGGCCACUGAAGGAGAGCCCCAACAUGGUCCUGGAAGAGAACAGCAAUUCCAGCGUUCGAUCAAGCAGCGAUGAAUCGGCCAGGACCAAUGGGUUCAGGCAGAUUGGGAACCGGAGGAAGAGCACGCCCCGGCGAGCAGCGGAGGCAGGGCUGGAAUGCAAGUAG